UUUAUAAAGAUUGUUUUAUUGUUGUGGUUAAGCGUCGGACACUUUAUCUUUUAUCAUCCUUUACAAUUUUUUUUUUCAGGUUGAUGCUGCUCUUGAUAGAAAUCAGUUCGGGAGGGAAUGCUAAUAAGCUGGUUGGUGUCACGUGUGAAUACCGCAUGAGAUGAAUCCUAACUGUUUUGAAGGACAAUCUUUCGGCAAUGUAUUUCAUUUUCUGGAUGCUAGCUUCAGAGAUCUGGAAACUGGGAAGGAAAACUCGUUUGGUAAUGAUUUCCGGAAUUUUGAUCUUCCAGACAAAUUUAUUAAUAGAACCAUAGACCAUAACAGAAUGAUGCAGAGAGUAUGUGAGUACGUGAGAGAUCUUGAUUAUUAACAGGGGUCUUUUAAACGCACAUUUUUCUGGCAGAGCUCAUAUUUUGUACAACACUUCUCCAAAAU